GUGAGUCAUCGAAUCUUUGAACGCACAUUGCGCCCUCUGGUCCUGCCGGAGGGCAUGCCUGUCCGAGCGUCGUGAACACCCUCCCCCAGCGGCCUUGCGCCGUCCUCGGGGGGUCAUGGCGGUGGAGGGGGGGUCUCCCUGGGACCGCCUCCCCGCCCAAAGGCAUCUGGCGGAGAGCCUGGGGUCGCCGUGGACGUAGUGAAACACCCCUCGUCCCGUUGGCGCACCCAGUUAUCCUGCCGCGAACACAGCUUUCCAACGAUUGACCUCGGAUCAGGUAGGGAUACCCGCUGAACUUAAGCAUAUCAAUAAGCGGAGGA
rnacentral:misc_RNA from 1 species